AAUCCCCGCAGGCGCUGGGUCUGCAGAUGGCGUCCAGGUACACAGUGGCGAGUGUGAUUCCGCAGUCUUGGGCUGUUUGGCCAAGCGCCCGCCGGACAUGGUACGCCGAAGGGUCAUCGGCGUGGAGUCCUCGCUUUCAGCGUCCGCGGCUGGGAAAUCGGCCAUCGCUACGGCGGGAACUGGGACUCGGGCUGCGUCCCGGCCCUUCCACAUCGGUCCACCGCACUCGUGGGCGCCCGCAUUGGUGCUGACAUAAUUUCCUGACCUCUGACCCGUAUUGUCUCGCGAUUAAAGAGCUGCGCCUGGAUCCCUCAGCAGUGAGGAGACCUGAAGACCAGAGGAAACACAGCAAACGGAGCCUUGCUCUGUUGCCCAGGCUGGUGUGUAGUGAUCUCAGCUCACUGCAAGCUCCACCUUCCGGGUUCACACCAUUCUCCCACCUCAACCCCCGGAGUAGCUGGAACUACAGCCUCCUGCCACCACGCCUGGCUAAUUUUUUUUUUGUAUUUUUAGUAGAGACGGGGUUUCACCAUGUUAGCUAGGAUGGUCUCGAUCUGCUGACCUCGUGAUCCACCCGCCUCGGCCUCUCAAAGUGCUGGGAUUAAAGGCGUAAGCCACUGCGCCUGGCUGUUUUUUCAUUUCUAUUAUGAUUUGUCCUGUGGAAUGUCAGUGACUUAGCGGUAUUUUUAUCACACGUUUAUAAAGCUGAAUAGUUUUGUAUGUCAGCUCAGCACCCUUAGUGUCAGCCAUGCUAGUCUCCUGCUGUGCAUAGAUCGAGGCCUGUCCAUACCCGAAUCUCCUGGGUUCCCACUGUCAGCACCUGAAGGUACCCACCAGAUGUGUCUGUCACUUCCCUACAUCCACCUCUAUUGUGGUUCUCAUGUUUCUGCCUCCCUAGAGACCAUUUCUCUGUAGAGCAGCGCUUUCGAAUAGAAAUACAAUGCCAGACACAUAAGUUGUUUUAGAUUUUCUAGUAGUCACUUUAGAAAAGUUAAAAAGAAACAGGUGAAAUUAAUGUUUUAUUUCACCUAAAAUGUUAGCAUUAUCCAAAAUAUCACUUCAACAUCUUAUCAAAAUAAAAUUAUUAAUGAGAUUGGUUACCGUUCCGAUAAAUAGGUGAACUGAGAGCAUACACAGUAGUAUUCUGUUCUAAUUUCUGCUUCACUGUGAGUGUCUUGACAUAGUCUUAAAAGAGUAUUGCUGUGAAAUAUUAUACAUGUAACUCAUAACCUCUACAAUUCUGCAGUUGUAAUUGGUUGUCUUACCUAAUAAUCAGUUGCUUUGCUUCAUAAUAUUUAAAUUGGCAUCUCUAUUUUCCAAAAGGCAUAAAUACUAGUAUAGUUUUUUAGUUAAGCCAGGAGAAAGUUCACUUUAUUUACAUAACUUAUACGUAAAAAUUUAAUAAAUCUCCCUGCUUCUUUUCUUUUGCAUCAUAACAACCACUGAAAAUAAUAUUUCUAUGGCAGUUGGGGGUAAAUGGACAAUAGCUUUUGUGACCAGAGGUGAAUGGCCCAGGGUCUCCAGCACUCCAGGUCCCACUGAGCCUGCCCCACAGCUGAGGGCAUCGGUAUUUCCACACACCUAUAAUGUACAGUGCCCCAGAACAGAGAUCGGAUGCUCUGCUUUAUUCAGAUGGGGUGUUGAGAGUAUUGUCAUUGUAAUUGAAUUAGUAAGUAAGUAUUUAUACACUGUUAAAAUCUGGUUGGAUUUGUGUCCCUUCACAAAACAAAUUGCUUAAAUGAAACCACAGAGUUAACAUAAUUGACUACAUCUGCUUCUAUGAGCUGCUGUUCUAACAUUUAACUAGAAUCUAAUUUGAAAUUAGUCAAUAAAAAGUUUAUUCAACUGAAUUAUAUUUAGACUUUUUGUUGUUGUUGUUGUUUUGAGAUGGAGUUUUGCUCUUGCACUCCAUCCUGGACAACAGAGUGAGACUCCUUCUC
rnacentral:lncRNA from 10 species